CAUGGGCUUAUAAGGCGCUGGACCUCUCCAAAGCGAAACGCAUCUUCCUCCUCGGCCCCUCUCACCACCACCACCUCUCCACCCUCGCCCUCCCGCAACUAACCAGCUACAAAACCCCUCUCUCCCCAGAUCCACUGCCCCUUGACACAGACCUAAUCACCCACCUCCUCUCCACCACCUCCACCAACACGCACUUCACCACGAUGAGCCCGCCCGUCGACUCCGCCGAACAUAGCCUAGAGCUCCACCUCCCCUACAUCCACCAUCUCCUGCGCACGCUCUACCCCACCAGGGCCCCCGCCGCCUACCCCCGCCUGGUCCCCAUGAUGGUCGGCAGCACCUCCCCAGCCACCGAAGCCGCCUUCGGCGCCCUGCUGGCCCCUUACCUCGCCGACGACACGAACGCCUUCGUCGUCUCCUCCGACUUCUGCCACUGGGGCCUCCGCUUCGGAUACACGUAUUACGUGCCCGGCGCGCCCGUGCCCGCGCCCGCGCUGCCGAUCUCGUAUCCGAAGCUUCCCGUGCCGGCGGCGUCAUCAACGACGACGACGACGACGCGGGGUACUGCUACCGGUGCAGCGGAGGCCAGGGCAGCCAUCGACGCCGUGUCCGGCGGCGGCGCAUUCAAGGCCCGCAGCCGCAUGCUGGGGGGCGGGGCGGGGGUCCCGCUCAUCCACGAGAGCAUCUCUGCGUGCGACGUGGCGUGUAUGCGGGCGAUCGCAUCCGGGGAGACGGAGCUGUUUCUCGACGCGCUGCGCAGGACGGGCAAUACGGUCUGCGGGAGGCAUCCGAUUGGGGUUGUGAUGGCUGGGUUGGAGGCUGUGAGGAGG
rnacentral:sRNA from 1 species